UACAGAGGUCCCAAGCGUUGUUCGGAUUCACUGGGCGUAAAGGGUGCGUAGGUGGUUAGGUAAGUCCGAUGUGAAAUCUCCAGGCUCGACCUGGAAAUGGCAUUGGAUACUAUCUAGCUUGAGGAGUGGAGGGGGGACUGGAAUUCUCGGUGUAGCAGUGAAAUGCGUAGAUAUCGAGAGGAACACCAGUGGCGAAGGCGAGUCCCUGGACACUUCCUGACACUGAGGCACGAAAGCUAGGGGAGCAAACAGG
rnacentral:rRNA from 1 species